AGGGUUUCACAUCCAGCUUUGCUCCUGACUCCAGCACACUGCUGAUGUAGACCCUGGGAGGUAACAUCAAUGGAUCAAGCCACUGAGUUCCAGCCAUCCCCCCACCCUGCCACCCUAUUGGUGGGGAGACCUGGUCUUAUUCCUGUAUAAAGAACUUAUUUCACUUCAAGAAAGAUGAAAAUGUGAUAAACCAGCUUUUACAAGAACCUAACCCCUUCAUACUAACUGCCCAUUUUCGUAAUACUUACCCUCCAAGAACAUGUCUUGGGGAUCAAAAAAGAGAAGCCAUCUUUCUUGGGGCUCAGCCACUGUCUUCUGGGGCUCCCAUACUGGUCUAACCCUCCAUAACAUGGGGCUGCCAUCUCACUGUUCUUGCAGAGACUGUUUAUCACUAGGUACUUGUUUGGUGGCUUUGAGGAUAUGGGCUACCAGGAACAACCAUGUCACAGUAGAAAAAUCUCCAAGCAAAGCAACAGGUAGGAGGCAUGCCGAUGUAAGCUUAAGCUGCCUGGGCAAGCACUGCUGCCAGCAUGUGCUGCAAACCCUGUUGUCAAUUGAUCCAAGAUUAAAAAAAAACUGCAAAAGAGGAAGAAGAAGGGGAACUAGGGAAAGAAGAAUCAAAAGCAAUACAAAUGCAGACUCCUGUCCUGCUUCUACCACAUUAUGUCUCCUACCAUCCUAAGACAUCCAUCUUCCAAAGUGAUUCCAACUUCCGAAAAGAAAAUUUGUCUUGAUUCACCCUCCACUCACGUAGUUCGUUCCGGGACAACCCCUCUACUUUGGUUAUAGCAAAAGAGGGAUGCUUUGGAUUGUAUUCUUGGUGGAGAGGAGCUUCUGCUUUGGAUUCACUCUUCUGGUCACACCAGGGAGGAUGAG